rnacentral:snRNA from 1 species
GGAUGUGAGGGCAUCUGGUGGCGACAUCUGUCAUCCCAUUGAUCACCAGGGUUGAUUCGGCUGAUCUGGCUGGCUAGGCGGGUGUCCCCUUCCUCCCUCUAUGCUCCAUGUGCAUCCCUCCCGAAGCUGCGCGCUCGGUCAAAGAGGAUGACCUUCCCUGCUAGAGGAGGACGGUUCUUUGGUCAAGGGUAUAUGAGUAGCUGCGUUCCCCUGCUAGAACCUCCAAACAAGCUCUCAAAAAAGGCUCUUACAGGGAAGAAGGUUUGGCUCAACUGAUAGAGCAUCUGCCUACCAUAUGGGAGGUCCAGGGU